rnacentral:rRNA from 1 species
AACGAACGCUGGCGGCAUGCCUAACACAUGCAAGUCGAACGAGACCUUCGGGUCUAGUGGCGCACGGGUGCGUAACGCGUGGGAACCUGCCCGUAGGUUCGGAAUAACUCCCCGAAAGGGGUGCUAAUACCGGGUAAUGUCUUCGGACCAAAGAUUUAUCGACUUUGGAUGGGCCCGCGUUGGAUUAGCUAGUUGGUAGGGUAAAAGCCUACCAAGGCGACGAUACAUAGCUGGUCUGAGAGGAUGAUCAGCCACACUGGGACUGAGCCGCGGCCCAGACUACUACGGGAGGCAGCAGUGGGGAAUCUUGGACAAUGGGCGAAAGCCUGAUCCAGCAAUGCCGCGUGAGUGAUGAAGGCCUUAGGGUUGUAAAGCUCUUUUACCCGGGAUGAUACUGACAGUACCGGGAGAAUAAGCUCCGGCUAACUCCGUG